UACGUAGGGGGCAAGCGUUGUUCGGAUUUACUGGGCGUAAAGGGCGCGUAGGCGGUCGUGACAAGUCACUUGUGAAAUCCCUGGGCUUAACCUGGGAACUGCAGUCGAAACUGCGUGUCUUGAGUGCCUGAGAGGAUGGCGGAAUUCCCGGUGUAGUAGUGAAAUACGUAGAUAUCGGGAAGAACACCUGAGGCGAAGGCGGCUAUCUGGCGGUGCACUGACGCUGAGGCGCGAAAGCGUGGGGAGCAAACAGG
rnacentral:rRNA from 1 species